CAAUCUGACUUUGGCAUCCAGGGUUCAUCUUCAAACGAAUCUAUCGCCAUUAAUGGAGUUUCAGGAGGUUGUGUGAGGCGAAUCUUCAUGCAGAAUAUUUGGGUCGAGCUUCGUUUGUGUCGUUUCGUUUGAGAUUCUUCUCUUCCAUAACGUUACGGGAUUCAUCGCCAUUAAGAACUAUCUUUAAUUCUUCAAUCCACAACCAGCACGAUUAAUCAUUUAAUGCUUUGUAUUUCUCUUCCAGACGGUGUAUAUCCACCUAUAAAAGUGAGUUUCCGUUAUUGAUUUGGCAACGGAGCACGAGAAUAUAGAGAUCGAAUUCUUCUUCUCGAUUUGAAUAUCUUACAAACUAUGAUUCUGAUGUCUCAGAGGUACUGAUAAAGAAGAGGGCCAGAGGUUUCUCACAGUGGUAAAGAAAGAUGAAGAUGUGAACAAGGCCGGCUUAGAUAGGGGGGCGAGCGGUGCGACCGUCCCGGGUCCAAUCCG